rnacentral:rRNA from 1 species
AUUGAACGCUGGCGGCAGGCCUAACACAUGCAAGUCGAACGGAAACAGGAAGAAGCUUGCUUCUUGGCGGACGAGGGGCGGGGGGGUGAGAAAUGUCGGGGAAACUGCCUGAUGAAGGGGGAAAACUACGGGAAACGGAAGCUAAAACCGCAUAACGUCGCAAGAGCAAAGAGGGGGAGCGAAGGGCGGCUUGCCAGCGGAUGUGACCAGAUGGGAUUAGCUAGUAGGUGGGGUAACGGCUCACCUAGGCGACGAUCCAUAGCUGUUCUGAGAGGAUGACCAGCCACACUGGAACUGAGACACGGUCCAGACUCCUACGGGAGGCAGCAGUGGGGAAUCUUGCACAAUGGGCGCAAGCCUGAUGCAGCCAUGCCGCGUGUAUGAAGAAGGCCUUCGGGUUGUAAAGUUCUUUCAGCGGGGAGGAACGGAUUUGAGUUAAUCCCUUCGCUCCUUGACGUUACCCACAGAAGAAGCCCCGGCUAACUCCGUG